GCCGCGCGCGCACGCCUGACGUCAGCGGCCAGCGUGAGUCACGCGCGCAGGGAGAGCGCGAGGCGGCAUCUCCCUCCCCCCUUCCUCCUCCGGCCCGGCCCAGACCGGUUCCAACCUGCUGGGGCCGGUCCCAACCGCCUCCAACUGCCACCAUCCUCUAGUAGGGCUGUGGGGCGGGAAACUCGGUCCCAGCCGCUUAGUGGGGAAGGCGGGAGCUUGGGAUGAGGAGCGCACACAUCUUAAGCCAGGCGUUCGAGGCCUAACUGUUCCUCAGACCAUAAAACCACAAUACCAGGCACUUUAGGGGCGAUGCCAAGUCCAAGACACGACCAAGAUGAGUUCCGUAGUUGCUCUCCCUAGAGCUGCCUAUGAGUGAGGGGUAAUGAGAAGUCCUGUCAGGAGACUCCAUGUAAUGUGCACAGGAGGCCUUUUGUGCCCAGAAGGCCCGGAUGUUGUCUACAGAGGCCACCCUUGCUUGAAUUCACUUGGACGGUUAACUUAGAUAAACAUGCAAAGACGAAAUCCUGUCGGUGCGCGCCCAUGACCGGUCCUCUGGGACUGAACUGACCCAACCAGAGUCAGGGGCCCCGAGGGUGAUGGGGUUCGAGGAUGUCCGCAGGCCCACUGAAAUGUGGCAUCGGAGGGAGCCCCAGAUGCUGACAUUACCAGAGUCCGGGAAGACGGAAAACCUUCUUCCCGGGGAAACUGCUUGAGUCUAAGUGUAGGUCCUUCUUUUUUCAAUUUCCUUCCAAGGCAUAUUACUCAACUCCCUAGGGCUAGGUGUCCUGGGAGAAAGCGAAAUGAAAAAGAGGUGGUCUUUCCUGUUAAGCAAAACGUUCUUUUCCAUUUUCCCUGAUGCUUUUUGAGUGCGUCUCAUCCCCAUGGGCUCCCGAGUGAUGUGCUUAUUUAGAAGGAUCCCCAGCUGUACUUGCUGGAGAUUUUGGAACGUGGAGGGUUGGACAACCCUUAAGAGCCACACUGAGAUGCCAGUUUGUGAACCAAGAGCAGGAAGCAUCUGUUGGAAUAAAGAAAGAACUAAAAAGUAGACGGGAAGGAGGAGCUCUUGUUUGUCACUCACCUACAGAAGUAAGACCAAUUGGAAAACCAUUCUAGGGUUGGGGAACAUUGGUUGUAGGAACGGGAUUGGUUUCUUUGUGGGAUUCUCUGCUACUGGAUGAAAUCAUUGAGGCUUUUUCUUGACCGCAGGUCUGACUCAUGUUAUCUAAAACUUUUGUUAAUGUGGCCAUUGCUUUGCUGGUCCUUUCUUGUGAACUUCUCUCUGAAGUUCUUCUGUUGGUUUUGGUGUGGUCUUAGCUCAGAGAAUACUGACGACUUGAAUGAUGUCACGCAACUGUGUAAUCUUGAUUUGGAAAUGUUGCAGGUUUUUCAAUAAAAUACAACGUUUCGAGUUGCGUGAGCCUUGGUUUCAGCAGCUGUGUUUCUGAUGUGACUCUAUGUUGUGGUGUUAUUCAGUAUACCGUGGAGUCUAUAUUGCACAGGCUUUCUGAUCAUUUUGGAAUUGGCUGAUGGGACAAGUUAACAGCUGUGUAAAUGUCAAUAUCUUUGUCCUCUUGAUGUUCAUUUGUUUAAAAUCUCUUUCAAUUCCUCAGGUUUUAGUAAACUAACAGUAGAUGAAAUGCCCAAGCUUGAUGGGUGAUUGGAGGUUGUAGGUACUCUAGCUUCUUUGUUUUCUGUUUGUUAAUUUGUAUGUGUUUUGUUUUUUAAUGUCUUUAUCUUCAAAACUCAGAGCUAGGAAUCAGUUGUCUUCCUUAGUAUAUUUAGGGGAGUUCAGAAGCUGUGGUUAUCUGGAAAACGUCCAUCCCCUUGUCAUCCCCAGUCUGAGGAGCAAGGGGCGUGAGGACACUGACAAUGGCACCAGUACACUUGGUGGCUCUGAUUUUUUUUUUUUUAGGUGAACCCAUUUGUUGUUGGGGAUUGGGGAACAGGAACAUUUUGAUUUUUAUUUCAAUUUCAAUAAAAUUUUGAGCUGCUUAGCAUUUUUUCAUACUCCCUUGCAGCGUGAAUUUUCAGAAUUUGUUCUGAAUAUGGCAUAUAUCUGUUGCAUUGAUUCCAUCGUUGAAUAUAGAUUUAGGCCCCGUAAAUUUUUUUUUUUACCUGUCGUAAAAGUUUACCUGACUUUCUUAUACAUGAAUUACGUUAAUUUUGUGAAUUUUUAUGGCUAAUGUUAUUUGAGACUAUGUGAUAUGCUGUCGUCCAUGCAGUAACCCAGAAGAAACUUGUGUUAAAAUUGCUUCUCACUCAGCAUAAUGACAAACAGUCCUGGGAAACAGUUGAAUCCACCAAAAGCAGAAAUUGCCUUCGCAGAUGCUUGGUUUCCUGCCCUUUAUACGUGGGCCACAACUAAAGUCCUAGAGCUUGAGCCUUCAUUUUCUUAGAACGAGGAUUAUUCAUAACAUAUUUUAAGAAUAAUUAUUUUGUUGGCAUUUUUUUCUUAAAAUCUUGAAUUAUGUUGCUUUAAGGGAAACUUAAUUUGUUUGAAGCAAAUUGGUGUGGCAGGCGCUUGUGCUAGGCCUGCGGAAUAUGACCCUCCUAGAGGACACUCAUUUAUGUCUGCGUUCUCUGUUUUACAGCUCCAAGUGUUUGAUUAGCCCUUAGUAAAAUAAUAGUAUGCAUGCAUUAGUACUCUUCACAUACAAGAGCCAUAUGACCUCCUCAUCUUUUUAUUUGAUAAAGACUAAGUAUAAUCUAGCUCUAUUCAGAACAGGUCCGUCUUGUGUAGUAGAGGACUUUUAUAAAAUUAUGUAAGAAUGAGAAGUUUUGGAGAAAUUUCAUCUGGAAAUGUAUCUACAAGUUUAGCUAACUUUGGACUUUUUACUGCAUAAUAAUUAUUAAAAGUUUAUAAUUGAGAGGCCACAAAAAACUGUCAUCCAAAACAUCCAGGUUUCUGACCUCAUUAUUUUGACCCCGUAAGAGGAAGUAGGAAACCCUGGUGGUGCAGUGGUUAAGAUCUACAUCUGCUAACCAAAAGGUUGGCAGUUUGAAUCCACCAGGUGCUCCUUGGAAACUCUAUGGGGCAGUUCUGUUCUGACCUAUAGUGUCACUAUGAGUUGGAACCAGCUCAAUGGCAAUGGGUUUAGUUUGGUUUUAAGAGGAAGUAUGGAGCCCUGGUGGCGCAGUGGUUAAGAGCUCAGCUGGUAACCAAAAGGUCGGUAGUUCAAAUCCACCAACUGCUCCUUGGAAAUAGACAUUACAUUAUUUUUAAAUUCGUUCCAUUGCAGUUGAUUCUCAGACUUCUUAAUGACCUACUCUUAAAGUGAAAUUCCAGUUUAGUGACGGUUCCUUGGAGUUUUCUGGUCCCUGGGUAAUUUCCUAUAGGUAGGAAAUCAUUUGUCUGCCUUGGUAGAUAUAUGGUAUAAUGGUCUUUAUAGCCUCAUUUACCCAGGUGUCUUUAAGACUGUUUCCUGGGAAUCUUCAAACAAGGAUAACAUAGCACUACUUCCAUAGAUAACUAUUUUGAAGCAGAUUUGUUUAUACCUUAUGUAAACAUCAUGAACUUUACUUGAUUGGAUCUGAUUGUGUUUGGAAAAUCUAGGAAAUGAGCAUGUAUUUACAGCAUUAUUGCAAAUUGCAAUACAAUUGUGAAUACAUUGCUAGAGUACAACUUGUUGCAUAAUGGAAGUCACUGGGAAGUGUUACCUAACAGCCUUGCUGAGAAUGAGUUAACUUACCAAUAAACAUUUCUGGAUUGUAUUAUUUAUCAAGUAAAGCUAAUUUUCUUCCAGGACAGAAAUUAAGAGCUCAUUGUGGCUUUCAAUCAAGCCCACAAAAUGGCCAUUAUUAAUGUUAAGUGCCCAUGCUAAGGAUAGAUUCUUAAGUUUAGCACCUAGUUGAUAUUUACUAUAAUCUAAAUUAAUGGUUAAAGUCGAGAUUUGCUUAAUGGUUAAGUUUUUUUGUUUUAAUCCAGCUAUGUUAGAUUCUAAAGAAGGCUUUCCCACAAUCCAUAUGCAUCUGCUUUGGCUGAUGGUUUCUGUCAACCUACAAAGACUGGGCCUUAUUGGUGAGGGGAGCUGGACAACUCUGAGAGCAACUUAGAGAAAUCCAUCUUGGGCACACUCUGUAAAGGAGCUCCUUCUCUGGAAAUAGCACCCCAGAUAAGUGCACAAAAGCAAGACACCCUCGUGGACCUACUUCUUCCCGCUUUCAACACCCUGAUGCCUGAAGUUAUGCUUGAUAUUAAAGAAGGUUUUCCUACUACCCAUAUGCAUCUUCUGUAUUUUGAAAUUGCAACUAUGGACAGUUAAUGGCUAAUCCUAGUAGAUUGUCUUCCCUUCUUUUAACAUCUUGGAUGAAUUGUAGUGUGAAGAUGGAUGUUGAAUAUACUCUGUAGAUUGACCCCAAGCCAGCCAUCUUGAAAUACCUGCUGGGACAACAGAGAUAUCUGUGGAGAAAGUUUGAGUAAAAUCGAUGAUAUUAUAGUAGUGUGUAGAGUUUGACAGCAGUAUCGAGCUGAGGAGGAGGAGAAGAUGGAAAGGAGUCUAGCAACUUAAAAUCUCAUAGCAUUCUCUGUGAGGUGACCUUUUUCCUGUUGGUGGCUCAUUGUGUUUAGGAAAUAAAGAAGAUACUAAGGCCUGUGGCAGUAUCGUCGGGUCAUAUCUGAGCUUAUUGAAAUGUUUCCUCCCUUCCCUUAUUCUUUAUAUCACAGUUUGCUUUACGUGUUCAUAAACUGACUCAUUUGUUUCAUAUUAGUAUUUGAAACACCAUAUGGCCACCAUGAGUCCUAACAGAAUGACUUCUAAUGAGGAGGGGAAGGCCUGUGUUUGUGCCUUCCCCUGAAAUUUUGGCUUACUCACAAAAUGACCCCCAUUGAAGGGUAGGUUCAGAGAAAAAGAGGUUGAUAAAAACCUUUGGCAUGGUGUUUUAUGACUUGAAGUUUUAGUAAUAGUUUUUGUCUAAGUAUUAAUUUUGGUAAGAACAUUACUGUAUCUUCUUGAUGUCACUUUUACUGCUAAGAGGUGCCAGGCAUUUGGUGGCCUGUCACUUGAGGAUUCAUGUAAGUCAAACCUAGCCGAACAAAAUUAGAGGUCAGUAUUUGUAUUUUCUCAUUAAAAACAAAAUAACUAAAUUUUACUAUUUAAGUAAGUACUGUAUCAUGAAUAUAAGAGAUAAAUAUUAAAUAACCAGUAGAUGAUGUGAAAA